GACGUAGGAUGCGAGCGUUGUCCGGAUUUAUUGGGCGUAAAGAGCUCGUAGGCGGCUCAGUAAGUCAGGUGUGAAACCUCCAGGCUCAACCUGGAGACGCCACCUGAUACUGCUGUGGCUAGAGUCCGGUAGGGGAGCGUGGAAUUCCUGGUGUAGCGGUGAAAUGCGCAGAUAUCAGGAGGAACACCAGCGGCGAAGGCGGCGCUCUGGGCCGGAACUGACGCUGAGGAGCGAAAGCGUGGGUAGCAAACAGG
rnacentral:rRNA from 1 species